AAUAAUACAAGACAUCUAGGAGUAUCAGAGCAUAAUAAAUGUCUAAAUGCUACAACAAGGGAUAAGGAUAAAACUGUAAAUCCACUAAAUAAAACAUAAAGUGAUACAAGAAAAUCCCCGAUACAAGUGCUAUAGGUAGAUACACAGGUGGUCUCUAUACAUGGAUACAAAAACUCUCACUCUCUCAACUACAAAAGAAAGAGUAAACCACCUAGGCAAGUACCGCUCCUCGCUAGCUAGCUAAGCGAUUUCCUUGCCGCGAUCCCGUGCCUCCGCCGGUGCCGAAGGCUCUGAAAAGAAAACCAUAAAACAGGGGCGUGAGAACUAUUAAAAAUAGUUCCCAGUGGGCAAUUACUGACUUCAGUGAAUGCACCACAAGGCCCAAAGCUACAAAAGAUGUCAGUGACAGUAACAGUAGAAAGGCGAAAGGUAAGUAAAAAUAAUGUAACCUACUACAACAUGAUAUCUCUACUUAGCGUAAUUAGCAUAAGUAUGAAGCAAUUAUGCAUGAAGUAAAAGUCUCCAACUAUCAUAAUGUUCACAAUGCGAAAUAGUAAAGUUCCGUUGUUUACUAUUCUAGUCAAGGUCCAAGUAAUACUCUAAGUCAUUAUCUAUCCACCUGUCAUGAUGAAUACUCAAGUCAAAUCUGAAGAGACCCACCCGAAGGCUGUCUAUGGCCCUGAGACCCACCCGAAGGCUGUCUGGCCGGUGCCGAGCCUAAUGGCCCCGUGGUAGUCAUCAUCCCCACCCUAGGAAUGAGCCUGUCCCACGGCAAUCCACUUCGGCGCCCAAUCGCGCACGGCGAAUAUGUAUCGCGAUGGCUAUCUCCGGAGUGCCGGCUUGUAGGGAGCGACCCUCACAAGCAUGUGCGAAUGAGCACAAUGGCAAGUAGUCAAACGAUCUGUCGCAAGUACCAAGUCCUCAUGUCUAAUAACAUGGAAUGUAUCGAAUGUCCCAAAGGCCUAUCUCUAUGUCAUCAUGUCUCUAAGUUGCAUUUGCAUAGUUUACUAAUUCCAAGUGCCUCUUUAUGACACUUUUGUUCAACGAGUCCCAAGUAUGGUAUUAAUAUGUUCAUGAAGCAUAGUUCACUCAAUUCUAGCAUGGAGACAUAUUCUCAACUUGCAAAACCAAGCACUAUCCACAAUGCAUGCAAUCUACACAUAUAGCUCGACUAUAUGGAGUACAAAUUUUACGAUACAUGAGGCAUGCAUGUUAAGUGUUCUAAAAUUCAUAUAAAUCAUGUUUAGCAUGAAUUUGCAUUCAAAAAUACUUUACAAAACGUUUAGAAGGCAUGGGGGCCAUUUUGCCCCAUUUUCAUGAAGUCAAACCCACCAAAAAUCGACUUCUUCGUUUCGCCGAACGAAGAUAUCCACAAGCUCCCUAGUACCCUAGAAACAUCAAAAAUAGGGUCACCCAAACGAAACGAAGAGCAAAUAGCUCAAUCAUUAAGCUCCUCAAGCUAGGGUUGGAGAAAACUUACCGAUUGCGAAGAAGGCUCUCACGAUCUCCAAAUGGGAGUUAGAGUCCUUCCAAUCUAACCUAAACAAAGGUUCUAAACCCAUCAAUUAGGUUUCAAAGCCCUCAAAUCCAAAAACCCCCAAAAUAAACCCUAAAUCCCAAAAUCUAGGGUAUCAUCUAGUAAAACCUAGGAAAGCAUGUAACAAAUGGGGAUUACAAGCGGGACUAUCCUCUCUGGCCAGGGGGUCACUUCUCAUGACACAUCGUCCGCUCCGUUGGCCAGGGACCGUCAACUAUGGCCAGGGGCUCGCGCAGACGCGCCCCUCUCUGGCCAGGGCGCGUCCCUCUCUGGCCAAGGGCUUGCAACCUAAAAGCCCCCCGUCCGACUCUCUGGCCAGGGUCCAGCCCCUCUGGCCAGGGUCCAGCCCCUCUGGCCAGGGAGACCCGCUUUUGACGGAUCUGGCCCGACUACAUUUAAACUCAAAAACUCCCCGGAUACACCUAAAACAAUGAAAUCUCCGAUAUUCGUCGGAGAGGAGGGGAGAGUGAGAGUAAAAAGAGAGGGAGUGUGAAAAGGAUGUGAAGAUCUCUCUCUUUCCCUUCCUCUUCUUCCUCUUCCUCUCCUCUUCUCGAACGAACCUCCGGAACCUCGUGGUAGAAGAAGGAGUAAAAGGUGGAAACCUCCGAACCUCGAACGCCAGCCUCGAAACACCUCCUAGUUUGAGGUUGGGAUGAACCAAAACUCGAACCUAACCCCGAAGAGAACUCCAACCAUNGGGACCGGUUGCCUCGCCUGCUACGCAGUACUGUUCACUGGGGGACCGGUCUCUCCUAUCAGGGACCGGUCCCCGAGAGUAAAAACUCUCAGGACUCUGCCAAAACUCUCGAGAUCGAACUUUUAGGCCGGUAUACCAUCGACGGCCCUCCACCAAGUGUGGAAAAGUUCGGAAUACCAAUCGAACACUCGAACCUCGCAAUUUGCAAAGGUCCAGUGUGCUACAACUGAUCACCCCUCUAUUGGAGUGAAGUUGGUGAGAGGUUAGUUUUGGGCCCUGACGUGCUACAAGAAGCAGAAAAUAAGGUUCGCCUUAUUCGAGAGCGACUGAUUUCAGCCCAAAGUAGACAAAAGAGUUAUACUGAUAAAUGUUGACAAGAAUUGGAAUUCCAAAUAGGAGAUCAUAUCUUCCUAAAGGUAUCACCAACGAAAGGGAUUAAAAGAUUUGGUGUUCGAGGAAAAUUAAGUCCUCGAUUCAUUGGACCUUUUGAGGUUUUGGAACGUGUAGGCUUGGUAGCUUAUCGGCUUGCCUUACCACCAAGCCUAUCGGGAGUACACGAUGUGUUUCAUGUUUCACACUCUAAAAGUAUGUUUUUGAUCCAACUCAUAUUUUGGAUUUUACUUCGUUGGAGUUGCGUGAAGAUUUGAGUUUUGAGGAACACCCAGUGGAGAUCUUAGCUUGCGAGGUAAAGAAACUCUAAAAUCGUGAGAUUCCCUAUGUGAAGGUAUUGUGAAGCAACCAUAACAAUCACGAGGCUACUUGGGAGCUGGAGGGUACACUGUGGGAUCCUUACCCCUAUCUUUUUUUCAGAUAGAUUUGUAAGGUACUUGACUUUUAGUUUCGCUGAAGAAACUUCUUUUUAGGAGAGAAGAGUGUAGCACACUAAACUUUACCAAAUUAUAGAGUUCUAGUGUGAGAAUAGCAUUUUGAGCUAUUCUGGAAGGUUGAUGUUCCUGGUGUGUAGGUCUGUUUUCGAAGCUUAAUAAGCACGAGAACGGAUUUUGGCAUCAAAACCUGUAAAACUGCAGCUCUUGUAUUGAGUAUCGAUAUUGAGUAUAAGGUACUGGAACUCAGUAGAGGGCAGAUUUGUGCAGCUCUCGGGUUUUCCGAAACUCAGCUGAGUACCGGUAUUGCAUUGGGGUGUACCGAUACUGCAUUGGGCGAGUACCGGAAGGCAAUAGAAACCAAAAAUUCUAACGUUCGGGUUUUGCAGAAUUGAACCUCGGGUACCGGGACUCCUCAAGUACCGAUACUCCAAUUUGUGUAUCGGUACUCAAUGGUGUAGAGACUAUUUCGUGCAAUUUGUAAUUUCUAAGCUUUGAGGGGCCCUUAGGGAUAUCGUUACAACUUUUUAAAUAUCCCUUCACCCUUCUUAUGUGCUCUUGGUAGUUGAGGCUUGCAGGAGGAGGAAAGGUGAGCUCUUACCUCUCUACUCUUGGAUUUCUCUCUCUAACUUAUCUAAUCUUUGUGUUUUCCUUCUCGUCUUCAUCUCCUCUAUGGAUACAUGCGUCUAGGCCUUAGAGGGGAGCUCGGGAUUGAAGGAAGAAUCUUGAUUGAGGCUUGGACUUCAGCUUUACUAUCUUAUAACUUGGUUUGGAGCUUGAAUUGGGUUUAGUAACCUUCUUGCAUCCUCUAAUUGUGAGUUUUGCAAAAAAAAAUUGAUAGAAAACUUAGUUUGGUGGAAAGUAGGGUUUAUUUUUAUUUUUUGAUUUUUGAGCUUUUGGUGUUAAAUUGAUGGGUGUAAAAUACUCUUUUAGGUUGGAUUUGAUGCCCUAUUGCUUUGGAUUGGAUCUUGCACAAGUUUUACUUGAUCAAAGAUAAUUUUUACCUAUUUUAUAGCACACUGAACUUUAGCAAAUUGUAAGGUUUCAGUGUCCAAAUAGUGUUUGGUACUAUUCUGGGUGUGUUCGAGGGUAGUGGGCUGUGUACCGACCUAUUACUCGCGUUUUGUGAAGCGAGCAUGAGUACUUAGCACCAAAAUCUGCAAACUUUGGGUUGCUAAAUACUAGUAUCACAGUGGGGUAUUGGUACCUCGACGCGUGACCGAGAGGGUUGCUCUCGGGUUUGAGCUGAGGGGUGCUGAGUACCAAUAUAGAGUCGGUGGGUACCGGCACUUGGGUUGGGUACCGGUACUGCAUUGAGUGGGUACCGGUACAUCGUAGUUUACUCGCUUGGCAGAGGCUGGGUUUAGCGGGAUGGUUGCCGGGUAUCGGUACUCCCCUUCGAGUACUAGUACGCAGUGUAAUCUGUAGUUUAGUUGUUUUUUAGGGGCUUUUGGAGAUUGUACACUUCUAUAUAUACCCCAACACCCCCAUGUUGGGUUCCUUGUGCUUGGAACCAAAGAAAAAAUGGUAGGUUCUCCUCUUUUUCUUCUCUCUAGUAUUUCUACUCAUUUGUUGGAGAUUUUUGUGGUUUGAUCUCCUCCUUCUUCUCCUUUUUUAUGGGUGUUGGUCUUUGAACUUUGGAGAAGCUUUCGACUUGAAGAGUUGAGCCUUGUUGAGGAAUUAUCUCCAACCUUAGCUUCAUUCUAGAUUAGUUUGGAGCUCUAAAGAAGGUUAGUAGCAAUUUUACUCUCUUAGAUUGUGUUUUGGGAGGAUUUGUGGAAGUUUAACUUAGUUUUUGGAAAACUAGGGUUUUAUUUGGGCUUUCUCUUGUUUAAGCCUUUGAGGCUUAAUUGAUGGUUCCAAAACUUCCUUCUAGGUUGGAAUUGAAGCUCUCUUACUUCCUAUGGGAUUUUGGAAGAGUUUACCACCAUUUAAGGUAUUUUCUACCUAUUUAUGGUGUGAUUUUUGAGAGAUUCCGUGGGGUGUUCGUUCGAAGCUCUUAACCCCCUUGAAUUUUUGUUAGGGUGUUAGGAGGCUAGUGGACAACUUCGUUCGCAUAAACGAAGGAGUUUCGAGGGGUAUCCGUUGGGUUUGACCUCACCGAAAUGGGUGAACGACUCCUAUGUCAUUCUCUGUGUUGUAAAAUAGAAAAUCAUGCAUAUUCAUGCUAGAUGUAGCCUAAAUGAAUUUUUGAUUGCCAAAGAUAUUCAUGUUAUAUGUCAAGCUUUGUAUCCUCUAUAUAGUAGAGUGAGAAUUGUAUAUGGAACUUGUAUAUGAAAUGACAUUCUUCAUACCAUAUUAGAGAUCAUAUUAUGAUUAGUAAAAUGACAAGUUUUACAUAUUUGUGGACAAGUGACUUAUACAUGACAUAGUUAUAAUGAACUUCAUGUAGUGACAUUUGACUUAGUUAAAUGACUAAAUUUCAACAAUGUGACAUUGUGUUAGACCUUUGGGUCGUUAGUGUUUAUGCCAUAUUUUAGACAUGAUGACCGUGGACUUGAUAUCGAUGAUCAUGUUUGCUUGCUAUUGUGCUUAUUCGCAUAUGUUUGUGAGGGUCGCUCCCUACAAGCUGGCACUCCGGAGUUGGCCUAUGCGACACAUGCUCGCCUGUGCAGGAUUGGGCGCCGAAGUGGGAUACCGUGGGGAGGCUCAUUCUUAGAGGGGGAAUAUUGACUACCAUGGGGCCACUAGGUACGGCGCAAGCCGGACUACACUUGUGUAGGUCGUAAUUGAAUUGGAUAAUAAUAUUUAAAAGUAUAAUGUGACCAUCACUACUAGAUAGUGCAUACUAGUUGGACAUGCUCAUUCAUGUUAGAAUAGCUCAAUUACUUACUAAACAUCAUGCUAAUUAGAGGUAUAUUAGCUAGUAACUUAUUAUCUGCUUAAUAAUCAUGCUAUCUCUGUUAUUAUGCUCAUUUACUACUUAUGCCUCGGUGACCUAGUGGUGUAAUUCGCUGAUAUCGACGGCUUAUCUACUGGGAACUAUUGACUAAUAGUUCUCAUUCUCAUUUUGUUGAUAUUUUUGUUUACAGAGCCAUCUAUUGCGGGAAAGGCUAGGGAUCACGGCAAGGGAGUCGCGUCUAGCUAGACUACCUCGAAGUUUCUACUAGGUGGUCGCCUCUCUUUUUGUUUUAGUCGAAGAGACAUGUUGUUCUUGAUGUAUAGAGACCACCAUUUUUAUAUUUAGCUUUCAUUUAUGUGGAUUCCCUUAUGUAUGUAUUUGGAGGAUUAUUGUUAUUUAGUUAUUUUACUUUCCUAUACUUUUCUGUAGAGAGUAGUUUAUAUUCAUGCUUUGAUAUCCUGCUAGAUCAGGCUUCCGCUGGGGCUCGGGCGUGACAUAUUUUCUAUUUGAUUUUCAGUGAAUUUCAUGGUAAGCUUUUUAAAAACUUGUAACCCCUAAGAAAUUUUUCUUAGGAUGCUUGAAACCUAGGAGGCAAGUUUGUUUGAGAAACGAUCAAGGUUUCGAAGGUUAUCAUGUGAGUUUGACCGCACCGAAAUGGGUGAACUCCUCCUAUAUCUCCUAUCAUGUUAUAGGGCCUAAUAGAUGAUUUAUCAUGCUAUUUAUGACAUCAUAAAUGGGUGAACUCCCCCUAUAUCUCCUAUUUAUAUUAUAGGACCUAAUAGAUGAUUUAUCAUUCUAUUAAUUAUGACAUCAUAAAAUUUUUGGAUACAUGAUAUAUUCAUUUACUACAUGAAAGUUUACAUCCUCUAUGUAGUGGAGGGUUUUGUGAUAACAACAUGCAUGUCAAGACAUAUGAAUUGGUAUUGGAUCUAUUAAUCUUUUCUUGUUUACAUAUAUAUGUAACGAUCCAGCCCACUGGCAAUAAUAACUCGUUGGGUCCAAACCACCGACCCAAAAUGCUUAAGUUCAUUUAUUAUUACUAGUGUCUAAGUCUCUUUAUAUACCUAAUCACAUCUGUAUUCCUAUCUGAUGUGGGAUUAUUAGGAUGUGACAAUAUAUACAUAUUCAUGUUAUUGAUGAGUAAUUAUAUCAUAUGAGACACAACAUGACUAGUGGAACUAUUGGAUUAGAAUUCUAAUGACAAUUCUUUAUGCUUGCUAAGGCAAAAGGAAGCAUGACAUCUUACAUGUUAAUGACAAGUUGUAAAACUAUGUUUACUGUACUUAACCAAGACAAACAAUUAGAGAUGAUAUUAUGAUAAGUAUUCUACUUUUAGGUUGUCGAUUCAUAUUUCAUAUUUUAAAUAUAAUGAAUGAGAUUUCAUGCGUACUUGCUUGAAAUAUACAGAACAGACGUGAGCUAUAACCUAUUAUGAAAAAGCUAUGUAAUCUUUCAAUUUUAUAAAUUUAAGUGCGUCAUUUGUCUUGAGAGCAAUGUACACAUGCACAUAACCCCACUCAUGAAUAGUGAAAGUUUUUUUCUAGUCAUGUUGAUGUGAUUAAUAAAGGUUAUUUCACCGUUAAUAAGUGAGGUGUAUAUACACUGUAUAAGUAACUAUUUUUUCUUUAUUAUCUUAUUAAAUUUAUUUAGGCUAUUAUUAUUGUCUUUAAUUUAUAAAAGUACUGUGUUUAAUUAGCAUGGUAAUCGAUGUCUCUGAAUUUUGUACCAAAAGAGCGCGGUCAAGGAGUUAAAUCAAAUGAAUAAUAUCGUUGGACAGUAAAAAUAAUAGUUUAAAAGAUUAGAUAAUUACUUUUAAAUAAAUUCAAAAUGUAACAAUUUCUCGCUGAAUUUCUCGAGCGAUUUCUUUGACUGUUCUUCUCCUCCCUGGGGCCCCCAGCUGAGUUUCGUUCUUCCGAACGAUUCAACGAUUCGCGCGUUGUUGUUGGGCUGGGUCUCCGGAGUGAUCUGGAGACUUCGAAAACUCAAAAAGGAGAUUUCUGGAAUCACCUCUCUAGACGCCUCCACACGUUUCAAGCGAGAGCGACACACUCGCAUCACACCCACCUCUCCUAAAUAUAUAUGUACUCCUACAUGGCCAUCUUUAUUCAAAUAUCCAACAAAUAUCCAACAAUCUAGCUAUUCUACAGAGCAGCUGUGUCAUCAUUAGUGGAAGAAGAUAAGAUAAAUAUAUGUCGCUCUUUCCGCGCAUGCUGGGACUGUGGCCGUGGGACUCCGCCCGCGGCUUUCCCUACGAGAACGUCGCAUCCGACGACCUGGCGGACGCCCCGCUCGACUGGAAGGAGACGCCGGACGCGCACGUGAUCAAGAUCGACCUCCCGGGGCUGAAGAAGGAGGACGUGAGGGUGGAGGCGGAGGACGGCGGGGUGCUCACCGUCAGCGGCGACCGCGGCGCCCGCGACGAGGCCGGCCGGGAGGGCGAGAAGUGGCACUGCGCCGAGCGGAGCGCGGGGAAGUUCGUGCGAAGGCUUCGGCUUCCGGAUAACGCGAAGGUCGACGAGGCGAAGGCCAAGAUGGAGGACGGAGUGCUGACGGUGACGGUGCCCAAAGAGAAGAAGGCCAAGAAGCUGGGCGUCAGGAGAGUUGAGAUUCUCGGCAGAGGAGACAAGAAGGGAGAAGAGAGCAAGAGCAAGGAAGGGGCGGUCUGUUGCAGGUUUUGGCCGUGACGUACGUGUAUAUAUUAGCUAGUGGCUUAAUUUAUAAGUGGUGCACUCUAAUUUAAUGUGGUGCGUGUGUCCAAUGAAUUAUGAAUUAUGAAUGUGUGUGCGAAAUUGUUUUGUAUUGUAGAAAUUUAGAGAUGCUGAUGAUGGUAAAUGUGUGAAAGUUAGCUUCUUUAAUAUUUUGUAUUGAUUGUAGAUGAGCAGUUUGAAUUUGUUGUACAGGGCUUGUACAACAGUUUCUUUGCUUUUACAUGAAGUUAGGUUAAUCUGGCUGGUAUUACAUAGCAAUAUCGUUGUGUUCAUAUUAUACUUAAAAAUAAAAGUUAAAUUGUGUUUAAUUUAUAAUAUUAUUAUUUUUAGAAAUAAUUGAAUAUGUUUUUGAUUAAUUUUUUAGAAUAAUGGAAGAUAGUGAAAAUAAUGGUGGCACAAUUUGAUAUAAAAUAUGAUUUAUAAAAAAUAAUUUAUUAUAAAAUAUAAUUUAAUAAAAAUAUUUUGUAAAUUUUAUUUAAAAUUAAAUUUAAUAAAAAUAGUUUAUUAUGAUAUUCAAAUACAAAUAAUAUGCACUAAUACAUUAUAAUUAAUAAUUUUGUAAGCCGCGAGUUGCGGCUUGAUCUCUCUCAUCCCGCGCUGCCGUCGCUGCUUCACCGCCGGCCACCGUGUCCUAGAGCCCCUCUCCGGUCGGGGCCCACCCUUGGUCGCUGGUGUCGACCACCCUGAGCCGUUUGGUGAUUGGGGAGGGCGGUGCUACCUCCAUUGCUAGCUCCAGGAUACCAUGCUGGAUGAAAUCUCCUUGUGUCGGGCUUCCUAUUUCGGCUUCCCCGGCUUUUGGCGACUCUCCAACAGGUGGGCACGGCCUUGUGGGGUACACGUACAUUGUCGUGCUCAUCUCUAUUCCCGUUGGAAUGGUCUCUGUUUGCUGAAUUGAUAGUGUCGCUUCCGAGGACAUUUUGCCUUGAUGGACAGGUUGAUCCAACUUUCUCCUCGGUCAUUGGAAUUGCUCCGGACAGUGAGCACGGUGUCCGACAUGUUGAACCUUUGGGGCUGUAUCUUCAUUGGGUUUCCAAAGUUCACAGGAUGGAUGGUAAAUCCCUUAACAAUGUAAUUACUAGUUAAUUAAUUGCACAUAGGGUGUUCGACGAAAUGUCGCAUUGAAGUUUUUUGCAUCGUAGCUGUCACGCUCUGGACUUCAGCGGAAGCUCACCAAUUACGUGUACAGACCCGCCGUAUACACCACAACCUCAAAUGUAUACUAGGCGUCUACAAUUAACAGAGCAAAAGUAUUGUCACGCCCCGGUACCCGACCGAGACCCGUCCAGUGGGUGUCCAGACCUGCCAUAUGUCUACAAUAUAUAAGGCGUCUACUACAAAACAAUAAUUAAAACAAUAAAUAAAGAACAUCUAGAAGUAUCAGAGCAUACAACAACUAGAUUCUAAAAAUAGUGAGGUAAAUAAAAGAGCUAAAUCCACUAAAGUAAACCAUAAUGUAGUACAAAGAAGAACCCAAACACAAGUGCUAUACAAAUCCAAAUGGUGGUCUCUAUACAUGGAUACAAAAUCUUUCACUCUCUACUGGAUACAAAAAUAGUUAGAAGGCCACCUAAUAAGCAAAAGAUAAGCUCCUCGCUAGCUAGCUAGGCGAUCCCUUUGCCACGAUCCUGUGCCUCCGCCGGUGCCGAGGGCUCUGAAAGAAAACCAUAAAACAGAGGUGUGAGAACUAUUAAACAAUAGUUCCCAAUAGGCAAAUACUGACUUCAGUAAAAUGCACCACUAGGCUAAAAGGUAAACAUAUGAUGUUCAACUAUUAAAAUGGAAAUAGCAAUAUGUAUAGGAAACAUGAAAUAAGCUUACCAACUACUAUGCUUCUACUUAGCAUGAAUUUUCACGAUAUAAAUACUAUUCUAACAUGAAUAUGUAUAAAAAUAACCAACAUGAAGUCCACAAUGUAACUAGCAAAAAUGUCAUUAUUUACUAAUUUAUAUAAUGUCCACUUUACAUUUAGGUUCAACUUGUUCCAAAUCUCAUAGGACCUACCCGUGGGUAGUCCGGCUUGCACCGUGCCUAAUGGCCCCGUGGUAGUCAACAUUCCAAUUCUAUGAAUGAGCCUCUCCCACGGUAUCCCACUUCGGCGCCCAAUCCCACAGGGGUGAGCAUAUGUCGUGUGAGACUCAUCUCGCUAACCCGUCAUCCAGACCCCGGCCCAGCCGAGACUCAUCUCACACUUCCGGCUGGUACUUGGCUCUGAUACCAUCUGUGACGCCCCGACUUCCCAGGGGGUCACCCAUCCUAGGACUACUCCCGUCCUAGCACGCUUAACUCUCUUAACCUCUUGGGUCUAGCCACCACCCAAAAUGCUUAAGCCGGGUUAAGAGUUUAGCCCUAUUAUAUCUUAUAUAUAGGACUAUCUGGGGUCUCACAAUCUCCCCUCCUUUAAGCCCUGACGUCCUCGUCAGGCUCAGACUCACAAGUACCAGGCGAUGUGAGACUCGUCUCGCUAGCCCGUCAUCCAGACCCUGGCUCAGCCGAGACUCAUCUCACACUUCCGGCUGGUAAUUGGCUCUGAUACCAUCUGUGACGCCCCAACUUCCCAGGGGGUCACCCAUCCUAGGACUACUCCCGUCCUAGCACGCUUAACUCUCUUAACCUCUUGGGUCUUGCCACCACCCAAAAUGCUUAAGCCGGGUUAAGAGUUUAGCCCUAUUAUAUCUCAUAUAUAGGACUAUCUGGGGUCUCAUAAUCUCCCCUCCUUUAAGCCAUGACGUCCUCGUCAGGCUCAGACUCACAAGUACCAGGCGAUGUGAGACUCGUCUCGCUAGCCCGUCAUCCAGACCCUGGCUCAGCCGAGACUCAUCCCACACUUCCGGCUGGUAAUUGGCUCUGAUACUAUCUAUGACGCCCCAGCUUCUCCCCAUUUCUAGCCCCUAACAUGGAUAAUCAUGGGGGAAAUCCUCAAAUCAUCUCCUAGAAGCAUACUAGAAGGAAAACAAUCCAAAACCUAGCUUAAAACUAAGAAAUCUCACCUUUGGUUCAAGCUUUUCCUUGUACACUUGCACAAUAGCAUGCAACACUUUUGACUUGGUCUUCUUCUCCACCAAGAUCCCUCCUCAAAGCCUCCUUGCUCCAAGCUCUAGAGAGAGAGAGGAAGAGAGAAAAGAGGUUUUUAGAGAGAGAGAGGGAGAGGUUUUUAGGGUUAGAGUGAGAGAAAUGAGCCCUAACAUUAACCCCUCUCACAUAUACACCCAACUCAUAACACUUUUGCCCUUAAGCCCGGCCCUCUCAAUUCCAUUUUUAUAAUCAGCCCUCACUGGGCAGUUUUUGCAUGCUGGGAUCGGUCUCUUCCCGCAGGGACUGGUCCCCGAGAGCAGGUUUUCCAGGACUUAGCCGCUGGGGACACUUUUCGCUUACAGGGACCGGUCUCUCCCCGCAGGGACCGGUCUCUCCCCGCAGGGACCGGUCCCCGAGAGCACAACUCUUAGGACUUAGCCGAUUUUCCAUGUAAUAUACCGAAUUUCUAAUUCAUGAAGUUAUGAUGUAUGUUAGCUUAGAAAGCCAUUGGAAUCAUUUCGGCAAAAUUCGGGAGCAUUCGGGUGCUUCGGUGCGCAUAGGGCACGAAAACGGGACCCAAAAGGCUAUGUUGGACCAUGAACUAAAUCCAGCAUUAGCGUGGAUGAAAAGAUGAUGAAAACAUAUUCAAAAACAUGUUUGGUGGGUCUCGGUUCAAUUUGAAAAGAAUCGGAGGUCAAACGAGCGAAAACGAGCGAAAACGGACGAAAAUUGGUGAAAAUGCUGAAAAUUUGGCUAAGUCCUUGAAGGCUGAUUUCUGGACUUUCGGGGACCGGUCUCUCAGCCAACGACCGGUCUCUCAGGGACCGGUCCCUCAUCGCAAGGACCGGUCUCCGAAGCCCGAAAAUGCCCAGUUUGGGCUGUUGCGAGGGAAGCAUUGUGGAGGGGCUUAAGUGCAAAAUGACACUUAUGAGAGUGUAUAGAGAGGAUCCUUUCUCUCUUUCUCUCAUUUCUCUCACUCUCCCACACCAAAAUUGUUAAGGAUUUUGUAUUAGCAAGUUUCGUGAAGUGAGUCGGAGUCUUGAAGGAUCGAAGCGGAUUGACGAAGAUUGAAGAAUUUAAGAUUUCGAAGAUUUUGGAAAGUAGCUCACAAUAUGAAUCACGACGUAAAGGUAAAGUUUUAAUUCAUGUUAUGGUGAUUCAUACUUAGUUAUAGGCAUUAGAAUCAUAAACUUAAAGUUUAAUGGAUUAGAAAGUGCCUCGGAACUUUGCAGAACCCGAAACAGUGCAAAAUCCAAAAAAUUGCAUUGUGUACCGGUACAGCAAGUGCCCCGUACCGGUACAGCCAUCAACAUUGGCAAUGCAAAUUUUCGUUCCGUCAUUGUGUAACCGGUGACAGCUUUAUCGCGUACCGGUACAUAGUUGUAAAUCGUGAAAACUUUCUAAUCCGACUCCAAUUGAUUCUAAAGUCUAUAAAUAAGCUAUUGGGGUUCUCUAACAUAGAAGCAUCACGAAAAUACUUGUUUGAGAAAACCUAGAGGCUCGGAUUUCAUCUAAAACCUAUUUUCACAUAUUAGCCUUCUUUUAGCGUCAAAUCGAGAUUUUGGAUUUUGAUAUCAAUAUGUUGAUCUGAUCUCGUUUUAGCUUCGAAUUUCUCUCUCUGCUUUUCAUCGAUACUCCAAAGCGAAGGAUCACCAUAUUCAUGAUAUUCUUCAUGGUGGCGUCGUGGAUUCGGCGUAUUUGACGGCGGUUCGUGGAUUCGGAUCGUGGGCUCGUGGAUUCGAGUGGCGUCGUGGAUUCGGCGUGAUUGAAGCUUCGUGGAUUCGAAGUGAAGGCGUUCGUGGAUUCGAACGUGAGGGCGUGGACAACCCGGAGGAUUACGCGAGAUUCAUAGGAGGUUAAAGGAGGUUGAGUCCGUAGAGUCGGUAAUCACCUUGUAAUCUUUUCUCUUAGUAAAUUAUUUUUUCGCGUGUUGGUCCCGUGGGUUUUUCUCCAAGUUGGAGUUUUCCCACGUAAAUCUCGGUGUGAUUUUUAUUUUCCGUAUUUAUUUUUAUCGCAUUGAGAUUUGUGGUUUUUGGCUUUUACACCAAUUCACCCCCCUCUAGGUGUUAGAUACAAUCUAGAUAGAUUCUUGGGCUCCUCAAAACUUUCAAUUGGUAUCAGAGCGGGAUCUAGAUAUAUUAAUAUCUAAUGGCCGAAGGCGGAAACAUUAAUCGACCACCGCUCAUCGACGGCACAAACUAUGCCUAUUGGAAAGUUCGCAUGAGAGCUUUUCUAAUUGCAAUCGAUGAGCGCGUUUGGCAAUCAAUCGAAUUUGGAUGGAAACAUCCUAUUGAAAAGGUCGAGAAUGUUGAAACGCCAAAACCACGGAACAAGUGGACGAAAGAUAAAAACGAGGUAUCUUCGUUUAACGGCAAGGGCAUAAACGCUUUAUUUAAUGCAUUGUCUCAAACGGAGUUUACUCGUGUUUCGACAUGCGAAACGGGAAAGAAAAUUUGGGAUACUCUACAAGUUAUCCAUGAAGGAACGAGCUUAGUAAAGGUCCAAAAAUUGCAAAUGCUAACAAGCAAGUUUGAUUCUAUUUCUAUGGAUGAAAAUGAGACCUUUACCGAGUACUAUACGCGUCUACAAGACAUUGUGAAUACAUGCGCUAACUUGGGAGAGAAAAUUCCGGAUGCUAAAGUUAAUAGAAAGAUUCUUCGAACUCUUUUGGAACGCUUUCGGGCAAAAUUUGCCACGAUCGAAACCGUUAAGCAUCCGGACGAGAUGAAAGUCGAAGAGUUAGUAGGCGCUUUACAAACAUAUGAGAUGACUUUUCCUACUAAUCAAUCUUCUUCGAAGUCUUUCUCUAAAAGCACAGGGGUUGCGUUGAAAUCAACGAAAAAGAAAGACGGAGACUCGAAUUCCGAUGGAGAGAUCUCAAUUGCCGACUUCGAACAUCAAUUGGCGCUCCUAACGAAAAAGUUUCACCGGAAUUUCCGAAAGAGCAAAUCGAAUAAACCUUCAUCUUCGAAGCAACAAACGUUUUCUAAGUCUUCAUCUUCUAACGAGAAGAAGCGUGCAAAGGCUUCAAAAGAAAAGGAAGUAUUUGAAGGCGAGAUCUGAUGCUACAAGUGCAAAGGCUACGGUCACAUCGCAACGGAUUGUCCUUCAAAGAAAUUGUAUACUAAGAAGGCAUUGCACGCAAAGACGUGGGAUGAUACAACUUCAAGUGAAUCAAGCUCAAGUGACGAAGAAAAGAAUGGAAGCCUUGCUUUAUUUGCUAAAUCUACCUUGCCUUCGUCUAACAUUGUUUGUUUAUCCUCUAUUAUUACUAAUUCCAAUAUUUUUCUUUCUUCGCAUGAUUCUUCGAGCGACAAUGGCGAAAGCGAGGAGGAAUCAAACGACAACGACAUAGCGGAAGCAUACAAUCAACUUCUUAUUGAAUCAAAGAAGAUGGCUAAACUUAAUAAGAAGUUGAGGCGUCGUUUGUUGAAUCUCGAAGAAGAAAACAACAACUUGAAGAUCACGAACAAAAGUCUCGAGGAGGAAAGGGAAUCAAUUUUGAAAAAUAAUUCGGACCUCCUAGAGAAGCUUAAUGAAGCGGAAUCAACGAUCAAAUCGUAUAAAGACAAGGUUGGAUUUUUGGAGCAAUAGUUUGAGGAAUCGCACACAUCCAACAAGUCAUUGACCAAUCAAGUUUGUCAACAUCAAUCCGACAUACAAAAGUUCUCAUCGGGAUCGAAGAAAUUAGACCAUAUGCUCGGAUUGGGUCAAACGGAUAAGCUAGGCCUCGGAUACGAAAGAGUUUUUGUUGAGAAGGGUUCUAAAUCAACUUCGAAAGUCUCAACAACUUUAAAAGACAAGGCAUGUCAUCGAUGUGGCGUCAAAGGACACAUCAAAAGGAAUUGCCCAAACAAAGAAAAGAUGAACCAAUCGGCAAGGUCUUCACAUCAUUCGACAACUCCUAAAGCUCAAGCGGCAUCAUCUACAACUCGACUUCCUCCGCGGAAUCAAAAGAAAAAUCAAGUGAGUCGAGUAUCUCAAAAGAAUCGAACUUCUAAACCGCAACGCCAAGUUCUACCUAAUCCUCAAGCGAAGAAAACACCAACGAUUGAUCAAAAAUCUAAACAAACGGUACCUAACGUCGACAAGUCGAGAAAACCAACGAUCUGACAAGUUUAGAUCCGGAAAGGUGAUAUCUUUCCUUGCUCCUCGUCUUAGUCAUUUUUGAUCUUUAGUGUAAUGCUUUGAUAGAUGCUUGUUGCAUAAUUUUAUUCAUUGCAUUACAUGUUUAAUUGAUUUUUGGUGCUUAGAAUUUUGUUUCUUUAGCCCCUGUUUGGUAUGGGGUUAAGGGGUGGAAUAACCCCUUAACCCCAUACUUACUCCCAAACACCCAUAUUUUGGGGUGGGGUUAACAAACCCCACCCCAAAAGGGGUUAAGCGGGAAUAAGGCCAACAGGGUGGGGUUUGUUAACCCCACCCCCCCUCUCUCUCUCUUCACGGGUUUGGCUGAGCCCUCGCAUCACUCCCAACGCACUACUGUAGCUCAUCCCCCAACCUCUUAACUCCUUCUUCCCCAAUUUCCUCUCACAGCCACUCCUCCCAUCAACCUCGUCGCUGUAGGUUGGACGGCGUUGUGUACGCCCGAACCGACAACUCCCUGCUUCACCUCCUCACCGUUGGUCGCAGACCGUUCACUGCCGGUUGUAAGGGUUUCGGCAAGCCCGAAAAUCCGAAGCCCCUUUCACGUCGCCGUUGCUCGUAAAGCCUUCAGUAACGAUGGUACCGCUUCCUCCUUUCUCCUCCUUGCUUGACUUCCGAGUUGCAUCACACCCCUAGAUGUAGAUAUGGGUAGAUCUGAGCUGCCUUCACCUCUAAUUUGGGGGUUUUGUCUGUUCCUCUCUCCUCUUGUUCAUCUUCUUCCUCCGAACGCCGAAUCCCUCCCUCUUCUUCUACCGAACGCCGAAACUGCCCCUCCUCGAUUGUCGCGGGUUGGACGGGCUUGCUUUCGGCCAAAGCAAGUCCUCCCUGCUUGACUUCAUCGCCGUCGGUCGCAAGGGCGUUCGGCCGAAGGAAGUCCUGGGUCGCCGAAAAUCUGAAGACCUCCUAAUCGUCGCCGUUGCUAGUAAACCCUUCAUUGUUGGUCGCCGGUUGUAAGGGCUUCAUGCUUUGUGUUGCCGCAUUAUUUGCUCUCUCCUUGCUUUGGCCGAACUCUGUCUUUGGGCCUUCAUUGGCCGAGGUUGGCCGAUGUUCGCCGAGCUUGCCCUCUGGUUCUUCAUUGUUGCUCCCCUGCUGUGCGCUUGGUCUGUGUGCUACUAUCAGGUCUGAAAAAAUUUUGAUAUUUUACCUAGCUGCAAUAUGAAUGCCGAGAUUCAGGAUUAUAUAUUUGCAUGAUGAUUGCGCAUAUGCCGAUGAUGAAUAUUGGUAGAUCUAAUCCAACUUAUGAAUGUUCGGUUUAUGUUGAACAUUGGUAUGCUAUUAUUAUUGAAUUAUUUGGUGUUAUGAAAGAUUUGCGGUUGACAAGGUUUAGUUUAUGUAUAAAAUUGCCAUGUCAUUGUUGUGCACAGACGGUUGAUUAAGAUAGCUUGGUAAUAUGAUAGACACAAAUAAAGGUUUACAAGUCGUGGUUCGGCAAUGAUGAAGGUUUGCAAUUAACAUAAGAUGGAUGGCAUCGAUUGUAAAAUCUUUGCAACCCCAUAUUAGUUGGAAACCACUUGAGCCAAUAGUUGGAACGAACCACCUAUAUGUGAUUACCUUGCUCAUUUCUCAAAUCUAUUGCAUGUAACUACUAAUUUAUUGUCUAGGCUAUGCCAUUGUGUGUAAAUGUGUAGUCUCUAUUGCAUUACUUAUAUUGUAGGCAAUGCUAAUACAUUAUCUUAUUUCGCAUGUACUUUAUCUCGCCAUUGAAAUUGCAUGUAAAUGGUACAGUGUAUUGAACUCAUAUUUAUGCAUCUAUCAUGCACUUGUUGAUUAUUAACUACAGAUGCGUCCCUUCAAAAAAGUUUCAAAGUCCAAACAAAAGCAAAGUGGGUUGGCAGAUAACUCACCUAAUGAGGCUAGCGGUGGUAUUCGUAUUGAUACAAGAACAAGGAGUCAAAAUUGGAGCAACAUGUUGGAUGCGCAAUUGUUGGGGCUGAUGAGAGAUGAACAUACAUUUGGUAAUUGCGUAAAUGGGUCAUUCAUUCCGAUUGCUUGGAAGCGAAUGGUAAAUGAUUUUAACAGUUGAAACAAUUUGAACCUAACAAAGACAUAAUUGAAGAAUCGAUUUAAAGUGUUAAAAAAAACUUUCAAUUUGUACCAUUCUCUUGCCAAUAAGAGCGGGUGGGGAUGGAACUCUGACUUGCACAUUCCCACACCUGGUGACGCAAGAAUCUGGGAUUCUGUAAUAGCGGUAAUUAUAAUUUCUUUUAUAAUAGCGUCACUCUGUUAUUAAGACAUGUACAUUAUAUGAUAGUAUUAAAUUGAACGUUAUUAUUAUUUCUUCAGGAGAACCCGGCGUACGCCAGGUGUAGGGAUAAGCCCUUUCCCGCCUACGAUGAUAUGGAAUUUCUUACCCAAAAUACAACUGCGACAGGAAGAUAUGCAUUUACAAGUGCUGUGGAGCUUCCCCCUAUAAUUGAAAGCUCCUCUGGGUCAUCCCCUGGUGAGGAUGAUACUAUUGCUGGCAUUGGAAUGUCAGCUUGUAAUCUCUCAUCGGACCCAUUCGAAGCAGGGGGAUCUGGGUGCGCCAGAAAUGCUAACUUUGAUGAAGCAAAUACGUCACGCUCCCCAAGCCCUCCCGUGAUGCCUACAACUGGUGCAAGUGGUUCUGGUCAUAGCUCUGGUAGUAAAAGAGCUCGUUCUCCAGAGUCUAGCAAAAAGCAAGCACAAACGGCAACUACAUCUGGGGGACGAAAAAAGAAAGUAGAUGCCCGGACUUCUGCUUACCUUGACAUCGCGGAGCAGGGUAAGGAAAAGCUUGGUUGGGUGCGGCAACUAUGUCAGCUAGAGCUGAGCAAGAGCACUGAUAUGCCAUCGCAGAACCAAUGCAUGCAACGAGUGUAUGGGAUGACGGGGUUAAGUGAUGAUGAUAUCUUAGUUCUCUGUGAUGCGUUUAAGGAAGACAAGAAUCGCAAUGCUUUCAUGUCAUUGAAUGACAAGCAUGCAAGAAAGUGGGUUGAGCGAGAAAUUGCGCAGCAAAAUCUAUACUAUAGGCCGUCAUUUCCCGGGAGUUAGACAAAUGGCGUAUUGGUAGUUCUUCUGUAUCGUACCUCGACCCAUGCUUAUUGCGUGUGGAUGUCCAUAUUUUCUAGCUUGUCGUGGUAUUGGUAGUUGGAAGCUUAUUGCGUGUGGAUGCUUCUUUAUCUUAGCUUUGCAUACUUUCUACUUUGUGGUAGUGACUCUUGAAUGUAUGACGCUUUGAUUUAUGUUUCCUCUACUCUUAUUAGCUUUGCAUAUUUUUCUGCUGUUGGAAGAUUAUUAUAUGUUUGCGCCAUAUAUAUUACCUCUUGCUAUAGUUAUAUGUUCGUGUGUAUUUAUUUAUUUUUGGAUGUGCAUAUUAAGUGCUGAUUUAUUCGGUAUUUACAACAGUUGCAAUUAGAAAGACAUUAAUGGUGAACCCACUAUACAAAAGAAUUUUUUCUUCAGAGACCAUAGCCACCAUUAUGACAAUAAUAGAUGACGAUGAUGAAUCUAUCGAGGCUAUGAUGCUACUUGAGUUAGAAUCUGCAGUUGCAAAUAGAGUACCCAGACAAAGGUGUCGGACUCGGCCGUUUACCGGACAUCAAAUGUUGUGUGAUAUCUUAUCUGGUCAUCCUGAACGUUGCUGCCAUCACUUUCGUGUGAGUGCAACUACAUUUAUUGCACUCCGCGAUGCUUUAGUCGAGAAGGGCUUAAUAAGUAGCACAAGAAAUAUGACUGCUGAUGAGCAGUUAGGCAUCUUUCUAUAUGGCGUAGGGCAUGGCGUGGCAAACCGAAUAUUGGCGGAAACAUUCCAACAUUCCGGAGAAACCAUCAGUAGGCAUUUUAACAAUGUACUACGCGGCAUUGUCAGGCUAAAAGAUGACUACAUAAUGUUGCCGUCAAGUAAUGCUGCCGUGCAUCUAAGAAUUCGGCAUAAUCAAAAUUUUCAUCCUUUCAAGGUAACCAUACACACUUUUACGUAUAAUACAUUGGUGUAUAAAUAAAAUGUAUUACUAAUAUUUUUAUCUUUUCUUUUGUAAACUGUAGAAUGCUAUUGGUGCGAUCGACGGGACGCAUAUUCCAGUAGUGGUCAAAAGGAGUCAACAAGCACCAUUUCGAUGUCGAAAAGGGUUCACCUCACAAAAUAUGAUGGCUGCGGUGUCAUUUGAUCUUAAUUUUUUAUUUGUAUGCACAGGAUGGGAAGGCUCUGCUGCCGAUAUGAGAGUACUUCGAUGGGCAUGCGAAAGAGGUGGUUUCGUUGUUCCCGAAGGUAGUCUUGCUAAUAAAUUAUUUGUUAGAUUUAAAUAUAUAUGAACACUAUUGUAGAUAAGUUUUUUAUACUAAUAACAUAUGGUUAUUAUGUUAUUUGCAGGCAAGUAUUACUUAGUAGACUCGGGAUAUGCAAAUACUGAAAAAUUUCUUGCACCCUAUAGAGGAGAGCGUUACCAUAUUAGUCAGUUUGACGCAAGCACACGGGCCCGCGUUCAUCGAAAUCCACGAGAUUUGUAUAACCACCGGCAUGCUCAAUUAAGGAAUGUGGUUGAGAGGACAUUUGGCAUUUUGAAGAAGCGUUUCAAAAUUCUAAAUGUAGCAACACCGUUUUCGUAUAAAGUUCAAUGCUUGAUUGCUAUGGCAUGUUGUAUAAUACAUAACUUUAUUCGCCGUCACCAAGCAAAUGAUAACAUUUUUCCUGAUGAGGGUCCAGAUGAACAGAACGCUGAAAAUGAAGGUGGAGUGGACGAUUUAGUGGGAGUAAUUGAGGACUCCCAAAAUGGUGAGGAUCUACGUGCUAAUAUUACAAAUCAAUUGUGGAACACUAGAAUAUAAUUUUAUAUAAAUUAGAUAAUUGUAUUGAUAUUUGGUAGAAUUGAGUGUAGUGGUUAUAUUGUUAUUUGACAAUUGGGGCUGAUUAUGAUGUAUGAGAUAGAUAUACUUUGUAAUACUUGCUUUUUUAUGUCUGUUAUGGAACAUGUAUUAAUGUUAUAUAUUGUGAUGAUAUUUUCUGCGUUGAAUAUUGGUAGGUAGAUAUGUUGGUAGAUAUUCGUAUUUUUGUACUCUGUUAUAUAUUUGUACUAUUUCGGUUCUAUUUUGGUUGUAUAUGUUUUUGUUUUUGAUUCAAUGUGUUGUUAUCUGUGUAAAUGUUCGUUGAUGUGCAGAUUGACUUGAUGUACGUAAAUAUUUCUAAAUUAUUAAGGAUAUUCGAAUAGCAAUGCAAAGUUUGAAAGAUUGGAACAAAUCGGAUUUGAAAACGCCUAACGAUACUCAACUCCACUAGGGGCUAAAUUUGAAAGGUUGGAAAAUAGUAUUUUUGGAGGGUAUAAUGAUAUUAUAACUAAAAUAUUAAUUAUAAUUCAGGAAAUACUAUUGUGCGUGAAAUUUAUAAAUAUGACAAUUUUAAUAUUGUUGUUUGAAAAUUUAAAAAAUUUUUCAAAAUUACAAAAGAACAGUGGAAAAUAAUUUUAGGUAUACAAUUACGCAAAAAUUUAUAUAAUUUUAAUCCUCAUAAUAAUUUGAAAGCAUAGAAUAUUUAAAAUAAUAAAUAAAAUAUUUAUUUUAAAUGAUUACAGUGAGGCUAUUUUAGUAAUUUUACUUGAUUUAUUAAUCAUUAUCCUUUUUAUCCCACUUACUCCAACCAAUCAUUAUCCUGUUUUAUCACUCAUUAUCUUCUUAUCCCACCUACUCCAACCAAUCAUUAUCCUUCUUUAUCAAUCAUUAUCUUUUUAUCCCACCUAUACCAACCAAACACUAUUUCUCAUUAUUCUAGCCUAACUCUAACCCCGAACCAAACACAAAAAAACUUUAACCCCACUUUAACCCUUAACUUAACCCUAUCUCUGGAAUAUCUACUUUUUCCUUAACCCCGAACCAAACGGAGGCUUAUUAAAAAUUAUUUUGAGGAAAGGUGUUUGGGAAUUUAAAAAUUUUUCUUUGAGAGAGGAGAUGAUUGAGAAUUAUUAUUUUGAGGAGAGAAAUUUUUCAAAGUUGUUUAAACGGUGUUUAACUUCAUAAUCAUAUUAAGUUAAAUUCAUAUUAAUUAUCGUUUUUGCUCCACUUUUUAUUAUUUUGACGAUAAUUUAAUAUAUGAUUUCUCAAUACAUAUAUUUAUCAAAAUUUUGAAAUCAAAUUUGAUCUCUUGGUGAUUAAUCUAUCUCGGUUGUGUGAGUUGAAUAUGAUAGAUGGAUAUUCGCUAAUAAACUAAAAUUUGUCAAAAUAUUUUCAAUUGUGAGAUUGUCUAAUUUAGGGGGAGUUUGAUUUUAUUUAAAAAAAAAGGAAAAAUACUCCUAUGUUUAAAAAGAUGUGGAAAGAGUUACAUCUAAAAGGAGUGUGAAAACUACCACCACAUGUAGGAAAGAGGUACCACCCCGGUCGUCCGGCAAGUGUAUGAAGCUACCACAUGAAAAUUGAAUUGAUUAACCGAAAAAGGUUGAAAAAAAAAUGAAUAUUUUAGAAUUUUCGGAGUAAUAAGGUGUUAGUUUGAAAAAGAUGCUCAAAGAGCCACCCCCGGUAUCAUAUUAGUUAAAUCUCUAUUUUGAACGCGUUACGACAAAUUGGUGUCAAUUUUUGUUGAAUUUCUAAAAAUUAUUUUUCAUCAACUUACAUCUUGAUGAUUUUGAAUCUUGAAAUCAUUUUUGAUAAUGAAAUUUUGAUGUUUCGAUGUGUUUUGAAAUUUUAUAAUAUUUUAUUUUCAUUAUAAUGAGUCUUUGAGUAAAAGCCUUAAUUUAUAUGAAAUUAAUUUAAAUUUGAUGGAUUUUUUAAGAAAAUUUUCGAAAUCUGAGAUCGUGUACCAGUACACAAUCCAGUACCGGUACGGGUAUUGUAGCCGUGGAUAUAUAUCCGGUUACAGAGCUUUUGUUCUUUCUCUAAUCUGAACCAAAAUUCGUUUUCUCUCUCUCUAAAAAUCCCUGGUGCCUUCUUCUUCCAGAUCUACACGAUUUUUCGCAAAAAUUUGUCAGUAUUUAGUUUGGAUUUAAUCGUUUCAUCGCGUUCAUGUUUAUUUUUCGAAAAUAUUCCGAGUUGAAGCUAGAUCUCUGUUUUUGAUCGUUUUUUAUGCAAUUUUUUGCUGUAGAUCAGUGCUUAAGGACAUUAUCUUACUUCUAGAACACUUGAAUCACAUCAAAACACAUUAUUUUUCGCUGAUCCAUGUUCUAAGCUUCAUUUUUCAUGUAAUUUUGGGAUUUUUGUAGGAACUUAGGUUGAGUAAAGGCUUGGACCUAGAUAGGUCGAUACUUUAGGGUGAGACCAACCCUUGAUAUAUGUAAAGUGGAUUCCAGAAUCCUUGCUGCUAGUGCAGCGGCUGCUAGUGCAGCAUACAAGCUCGAUAGUUCUUGGCCGCGGGUGCAUGUGGCAUGUUCCUCUCCCACCGGAAGAACUUCGAGGCUUGUUAUUGAGCAAGAAUCAUGAGCGCUAAGGUGCAUGUGCCAUGUUCCUCUCCCUAUCGGGGAUCUCGGCUCCGGGUGUAUGCGGCAUGUUCCUCUCCCACCGGGGGAUCCCUGACCACGGGUGUACGCAGCUCUGGGCGACCCGUUGGGCGAUGUGGUUUGUGGAUUGAUGGCUGAGGUGCAUGUGAUUGUUCCUUCACCUCGAGCCUGACAAAGCGCGGAUUAUCCGCAUAUGAUUGACUCAAGACCGAGUCGAGUGGCAUAGCUGGCUAAUGUAAAGUAACCUUAGGUAAGAGUGGUAAUGUGUAUAAUAUGGCUAAGGUGUGAGUACCCUUAGAAUAAAGAAUAAAGAAUAAAGAAGGGCUAAUGCUAAAGAUUGGCAAGUAAUAAAGAAUAAAGAAAGGCAAAUGUUAAAGAAUAGCUAGUAAAGUAAAGAAUGGCUAAGAGUAAAGAAUGGAUAAGAAUAAAGCGUAGAAGCAAUUAAUCUACUUAUGUGAAUUGCAUAAUGUGCAUGAUGCAUGUUGUGAGGCAAAAUGAUGGUAACGUUAGUUGCAUGAUUUAUGAUUUUAUAUCUAUCUAUUGGACUAACAUAUUGUUUGCCUCCUUUGGACCUGAUGGUCAAGCUCUUCCCUUAGGUGGUCGUACCCACUGGGAACCAUGGAGUUGGUUCUCACCCCACGUUGUUUUGGGGUGUUACAGGUUCGCACGUGAGUGGCGCGGCGGCGCGAGGCAAGGGCAUAGCUCCGUAGUUAGCGCCCUACCACCGAGACCAGAUAGUGGUACCCCGAGUCGGCAUAGCCUAGGGGUAGAGGAAAAUAAAAGAACAAGAUGUAUCAAACUUGUAAUAAAUUUGUAAUAAUUAGGUUGUAUUUGGAAGUUGAAUGUAAAAGAAUGUAAUUCGUAAUGUAAAAUAUAAUAUGUGAGAUGAAUGCUUAUAAUAGCAAGUAGAUUUAUGUUUUUGAUACUUCCUUAUGCAAUCUUUGGUUGAAAUGUGUUUCUUGUUGGAACUUCGUACAUUGUAUUGAUUGCGACGCCUUGAACGUACAGGGGAGACUCUGUCCGCGGUUCAAGGGAAACCCUGUCCGUUCGGCGGUCUGUUGGCGUGCCCAAAACCAACCAAAGAGGCGGGCUCGGGGCGGGACAGAUAAGAUGGUAUCAGAGCAUAAAAAGAACAUAAAAGAGUAUAAAGAUAAUGGUUUAGCUUGACCUAGGAGACUCUAGGAUAGUAAACUAUACGAGAUUAAGGCUCGUGAGAGACGAAGACUUGUGACUUGUGGCGAAAGGAUAAUGGAUUGGGUUAUGUGGUAAACCUCUAUAAUGGAUGUUAGAGGUAGAUCCAAGGUGUGGUUUAUUCUCAGCCAAGUGUGUUCAUGUUGGGCGUAGGACAACAUAAAAUCGAGUGAUGAGAAUAGACGCCCUUGUAUGACUUUCGCCCGAUUUGAGUCAAUGUUAAAUGUUUCGUACUCGACCUCGAAGAUUGAGAAUUAAUCGAGUUGUCAUGUUUCAGGGAACGAUGGCACCGCAUAGGCGAUCUUUGGCUAGAUCGACGCGGGAUAGGACAAGUGAUGUCCCUGAGCAAUCCAGAGCGAGAGGAGACUCGGAGCUCCGCAAACAGUUGGGAGUGCUUGUGGGCAUAGUGCAGCAUCAGCAGGAGGCUGCCAUGCGCCAGGAAGAACGAAUCAAGAGACUCCAGGAGACCGUGGAGCAGCUAGUGGCUGCGCCAGUUGUGGCUCGUCGAGGACGGGCAGGGCUUGCGAUAGAGAUGGUUCCGUCGGGGUCGAGCGAUCCGACUCCCGAAAGUGCAUUGGUGGAGACGGAGAAAGAGCGGGCUUUGGCGGCCCUCAUGACCUUCAAGAAGUUUGAUCCGCCUACCUUCGAUAGAGAGAAUGUCGAUCCCUGGAUUGUGGAUAUGUGGAUUGACUCUAUGGAAACGCUCUUCGAGGAGCUGUACACAUUGGAGCGGGACAAAGUGCCCCUAGCCAUGCAUUGCUUGAACCAAUCGGCGAAGGUGUGGUGGAAAGGCAUUCGGCGGAACCGAUCGCCUAAUCUUCUUCCUAUGGCAUGGGAUGAGUUUCAGGGAUUGGUGUUCUCAGCUUACUUCCCUGACAGUGAAAAGAGAAAGCUUCAGGACAGGUUUAGGAAGCUGCGUCAAGGAGACCACUCAGUGCGGGAGUACGAACGGGAGUUCUCCCGUAUCGUGGGAUGCGUCCCGGAUGUUGUACAGGAUGAGAAGGAUAUGGCCGAUUGGUUCUUACGUGGACUUCGACCAGAUAUUUACGAGAAGGUGCAAAUCCUCAAGCUCACAACCUUCGCGGAGGUGUUGGACCGAGCAUUGUGGGCAGAGCAUGGCGAGGCUUUCGUGCAUGAGGAGCGCAAAUCUCAUAAGCAUGAGCGGGGAGGGGCGAGGUCGCUAUUGAGCGGUUUGGAGGGGCAGUCAAGUUCUAGGUGCCACUCGAAGCUGUCCUCUACUCGAUCCUCCCCAGGUUGUGUGAUUUGUGGUGGUUCCCACCAGGCGCGGUGGUGCGCACUGCGUGAUAGAAGAUGUAUCUGUUGUGGGCAACCAGGCCAUAUGCGGGAUGAGUGUCCGUAAGGUGAUAGCCGGGCCUUGGCGUUGGUGACGGCUUUUUUCUCUCCGGGACAGCCGGCGGGUGUGCCACCUGUGGCACGGUCGGGAGAGCGAGCGAUGACAGUGAUGCAAUCGAGGAGUUCGCGGCGGGCGCUAAGAGGCCAUGGACACGCGACCCGGGAUAUGGGACCUGCUGCUGACGACGUCGUGGCAGGUAUGAGUUAUUAAUGCAGUUAUGUGUUUCUGCAUGAUGUAAAGUGGUGCAUUGCAUGCAUUGAGCAUAUAGUCACUUACUAUUAUAUGUGUAAGUAUAGUAGGGACCAAGGGGACGAGUAAAUGUGGAUACCCGGUUAUGCUUGUGUUGUGAGAGCGUAGCACCUACUGGUGCACGUAGCGAGCUAUGUGGCACUAGCGAGUUGCUAGUGAUGGUUUGGUGAUGAGACUCGUAGUAGAGAUGGAAAGGAUGGACCAACUCGUAAAGCAAUGUGUAGCAGAUUGCGAGAGUUGAGUUAUGACGCUGAUGGAUACUCAAGUAGUCUGAGUAUUCCAGAUGUUGUUCCAGUAGAUCGAACAGUGAAAGUGAAUCACUGUUGCGAGGUUUGUUGGAUAGUGCCAAGUUUGGCCUGUGAGCCUAGUUGUACCUCAAUGUGAGGUAGGAGAAUGUGCUUGGUAGACGAUACGCGGGGGUAAGAUUGCCCAAAGCCAAGACUUAGUGUAAAAUGCUAUCGUAGCGUACGAUGCCCGAGUAUAGGUACUCAUGGAGUGCAGAUUUAGUUCAGCCGAGUGAGUGGGUUGGUAGCAGCACUUGAGCGUUGCUAGGUGUGAAACGCGCCAUGGAUCACUCGUGGGGCUGGUGGCUCGCACUAGGUGCAUAGGAGCCGGUAUGUAAUAUACCGAAAAUUCGGAAAAUAAAUAUCGAACUUUAGUCAAAUUGACCAAAGUGCGAGGAUGGAACACUUCGGAAAGUCCAAAGGUGUUAAAAUGGUUAAAAGUGAGUUGCGGAUGGUUUUCGAGAGCUAGAUAAUUGAAUUCUGCAAAACUGCAGAUUUUCAGCUCUCGGGGACCGGUCCCUGAAGGGAGAGACCGGUCCCCGAACGCGUAUGAAAUGAGACAGCCGAAAAAUCGGCUAAGUCCUAGAAGGUUAGCUCUCGGGAACCGGUCUCUGCCUGAGAGACCGGUCCCCCAGAGACCGGUCCCACAAGGAGAGACCGGUUGCACUGCGCGCAGCAGCUCUGGCUUCGCAGGGUGGACGUUCGGGAACCGGUCCCUGCUCGGGGAGACCGGUCUCUGCCCGCGCGAACUGCCCAGUUCGGGCAGUGUAAUAAAGUGAAAGUUGAGGGGUUUAUUAGCAUUUUUGCAACCCAUUGAGCUAUGUUAGGGGGCUGAGGGGUUUUUCCUCUCAUUCCACUCCCUCUCACACUCUCUUCUCUCCCUCUCUCUCUCUAGAAGAUAAAAGAGAAGAAGAAGAAGAAGAAGAAAGGAAGAAAAGAAGGAAAAGAAGAGGAAGAAAGUGGAGAAGAAGAAGAAGAAGUGAAGAAACUCCUUCUCCUUCAUCUCUAGCUUGAAGAAAGGGAAGCUUAUAAGGUAAGCUUCAAACCCUAAUGUAGUAAAACCCUAGAAAUGGGUUUGAAUGAACCUAAGGUUGGGUUUUAAUGGAAUAUCUAGUAGUUUUGAAGCUUUCUUUUGCUUCUAAAGAGAUCAAAACCUAGUUUUGAUACAUAGGUGAGCUUGGACCACCUCUAAUGGUGAAAUCCAAACUAGGGUUUUGGAAAGCCUAAGAAUGGUUCUAAUGGACUAUUUAGAGUAUAAUGAAGCUACUUUUGCUUCCCAAUGAGAUCAAACCCUAGGUUUGAUAUAUGUAUUGAAGCUAGGGCACCAAAUUGGGGCUUUUGCUCAUGAAGGUUUCUAAGUGCAAUUGACCCUCUAAAAACCUAAUUGGGGGUAUUUCCGACGCGUUGGUGCGCUCGGAAUAGCAUUUCGAAAAGUGUAUGAAAAGUUAUGGGCAAAAUGGCCUAAUAAGGGUUCGUUUUGCCGCAGGUAAAGAACGAGGCAUCUAAAAAUCCUAAGAAAAUCAUCGGAGCACCUAAAGAGACCUACAAGGUGGGUGGUGCUUUUCAAACUCAUUGAAAUUCUCUCUAUGCCUAAUGUGUCAUUCUUUGAGCAUAUGUUCUAUAUAUUGUUGCAUGCAUUUUAGGGUAAAGUAAUGAUGAAAUGUGAUGAUUGCAUGAUUGUGAGCACAACUUGCAUAAUGAGAUGGUUGAGAACCUAAUAAUGUCAAAACCCUAGAUGUAUGCAUGAGAGAAAAUGUGAGCACCCAAAGUGAGCAAAAGAACAGAGUGGCACAAUGACAUAGAUCGAGUGGCAUUUGAAAAUGUAAAGUAAAGAGACACUAGAGUUAGUGUGAUGCAAAGAACCAAAGUAAUGUAAAGAAUGAUGAAAAUGACAAUGUGUAAAGUAAAGUAAAGUGGGGCAAUAAGAACAAGUAUUGUAACAAACAAGCAUGCUAGAGUUAGCAAGAGUAAAGAAAUGUAAAGAAAGUGAUUGCAUGAGUUGGCAACAUAAAGUGAUGUAAAGAACACUAGAGCUAGUGUAAAGUCAAGAUUGAACUUAUAAAUCCUUUGAGUUAAGGAUAUGAUCAUACUUGCUAUGAGUUCCGUGCUCGAGGGCGGUCGCUCCCCCUCGGGCGAUGCGCUCCGGAGUUAUGCAUCCGGGUUGGAGUAGACCCGUAAGGACGGUCCUAGCUGGUGAGUUCCUGCGAUGAUGGACUUAAUGUGAAGCAAGUUAAUGUGGCGAAACCCCCGGGUUAGCCUUAAUGAUUAAAGAACAAAGAGCAAAGAACAAAGUGUAAAGUGUAAAGAACGAAAGAACAUGCAUAACCUGCAUCUAUUUAAUGUUGAGCAUAUUUCUUGCUAUUUGUUCAGGCAUAUUAGCAUCAUGUUAUAGAUUGGUUACUAAAUCUUACUUAUCCUUUCUAUUAUGCCUGAGUUAGUCCUAGUGGGAAAGUCGGUGAUGUUGGGGCCGAACCCACUGGGAACUUUGUUGUAGUUCUCACCCCACUAUUUCCACAGAGCCGGGACCGAGCGAGCCGGCGAGCGACCGCGGUAAAGGUAUCGCGCCUUAGACAGAGGCCACCAAUGUCGGAUUUCAUUUUGUAGUAAAGUACCUUAUGAUCAUCUUUUGUAUUUGAUGAUUAGUAGUGUAAAGAAAAGAAUGUAAAGCUUAUUUGAGGAAAAUGUGAUGUAAGAAAGAAAUGAUGAAAUUUUGUAUUGGAAUGCAAAGAAUUCAAAAUUACUAGAUGAAUGCAAUGUGUAUGAUCCAAAAUGAAUCAUGUUACUUGUGAGUGUUUAGUUUCCUUUUUCUUUCACUAAUGGCUGUUGCUUACCCUCGAGUAAGCCGUUUGUGUAUGUUUCCGCUAGUGCACUUCUUAUUGAAAAUGUACAUGUGAUGAGCCUUGGGCGGAUAGGGGAAACUCUGUCCGUUCGGCGUCUGUUUGACGUGCUCGGGUCGGGCCAAAUUGGCAUCGGUCCCGGGGCGUGACACGGUAGUGAUACGCAUUGCUCGAUAGAGCGUGUAAUGCGAUUGAGAGUAUACUGAGAGUGCGAUUGUGACCCAACCCGAGGAUUUGUAACGGUUUGGGAUUUUAGUUGCUCCUGGUUGGAGUGUGAGCGAAUUCCCAAGUGAGAAUUUCACCCCAGUGAUGAUUGGGUCUACGCUUGCGAGUGAGAGAUGUUGCGCGUACGUUGAGACAGGUUUAGGCUGUAGGCCUACGUAAUAUUGGUGGCCUUUGGACCACCAAUGGAAACCGAGGAAAGCGAUUUGGCGGAUAGCCUUAUCGAGAGAUUUGACUCGAAUUCACGAACAAAGUGUUCUUGUGAGCUCUUUUCAAAAAUGGUUUGACGUUGACCGUGGCAUAUGGUAUCGAAAAAUGAAGUGCUCUUAGAGAGACCUUAUGCUUAUGGCAAGCCACAUGGAAUUUGAGAAUUGGAAGUGGGGAUGUGUAACACACUGGACCUUUGCAAAUUGCGAGGUUCGAGUGAUUGGAUGUGUUAUGAGUUUUUCCAGACUUUUUGGUGGGUCGUAGACAGUGUUCCGACCUAUGGCUCGUAUCCCGAGGAUUCAGGUUUGAAGCCUAACACCAAAACCCGAAAAAUCGGAUUUUUGGUUAGCUCUCGGGUAGCCUUCAGAGGGCUGUGUACCGGUACGGGGUGAUGGCUGUACCGGUACAGCCAUCAACAUUGGCUGCUUCUCAGCCAAUCCAAGGCUUGAGUUUGGCUAUUUCGUAGGAUGUGUACCGGUACGUGGGCCCGUGUACCGGUACGUAGUGGCAGUUUUUGAGCAGUUUGAACUGCAGGGGUGUUUUUGCUUUUGUUGCUAUCCUACUUAACACCACGCCCUUUGGGGCUUUCCCUGAGCUGAGGAAGGAGGAGAAGGAGGUAAGAGAGCCCUCCUUACCAUUUCCUUGGAUUUAUACUCCCUUUUAGCUUGGGAUUUAAGGUUUAAUCCCUCUCUUUUCCCCUUUUAUGUUUUUCCUCCAUGGUUGAAGCUUGGAGCUUGGAUUUGGAGCAUAGUUGAGGAAAGAUCUUUCGACUUGGAGAGUUUAGAGCUUGAAUUGAAGCUUCUAAGAGGUAAUCUACUAGUUCUCUCCAUCUAGAAUUGAGUUUUAUUGUUGGUUUUGAGAUGAAACCCUAGAAUGGAGACUUAGGGCUUGAUUUGGGUAUUUUUGAUCUAGGGCUUUUGGAACUUGAUUACUUGGAUUAGAACCUUCCCCUAGAUUGGAUUGGAAGGAUUCUAGCUCUCUUUUGGAGCUUGAGAGAGAUUUUUACCCCAUAGGUGAGAUUUUAGCCCUUUUGCCUUGAUGGUUAAUGUUUGAUCUUAUAGUUGUUCGUAACGCUCGUGUAGCUCUUCGCUCCUUACUUUUAGGGUACUUAGAGACUCGUGGACAACUCCGUUCGGCGAAUCGAAGGUCCACGCGACGGUUCGGUGGGUUUGACCUAGCCACAUAAUGAGAAAAUCUUAUUUGUGAUGAUUUGUGUAUCGUUAAAUGAAAAAGCAUGCAUAAUCAUAUUAAAUAUAAUUAUUGUGAAUUUUAGGAUGCUUAAUAUGUCUAUGUUAUGUGUAAGAAAAUUUCGGACCUCUAUGUAGUAGAGAACUAGCAUGUGGAACUUGUAUAUGUUUGGCAUCCUAUUGAGACUUGGAAUCAUAAUUCCUAUUUAGAAAAUGAGUAUCUCUUGCAUGCAUUUAAAGCUAUUUCUAUUUUAGACUUGAAGGUUCUUAGUAAGCCAUAAAGAGGCUCGGGGACUUGUACUACUUGUGAAUAAUUGGGCUAAUGUCAUAAAGGGGCAUUAAGCUCGGAUUAUGUGUGAACCUAAUGGAUAGUGCCAUUGAGAGAAUUGGAAUAUGCUUGUACAUCGAAAUGUCUAAGUGUCAUAAAGGGGCACUAGACUUAGAAAAUAUUGGAACUUCACAUUGUGACCUAGAGCUAGAUCAUUGAGAUGUUAGUGACUAUUACCAUGUUAGAGACAUGACGAGUGGAUACUUGAGACGAUGAUACGCUUGUUUUUCAUUUGUGCUCAUUCGCACAUACUUGUGAGGGUCGCUCCCUACCAGCCGGCACUUCGGAGUUGGCCUACGCGACUUAUGCUCACUCGUGCGGUAUCGAAAAACCUACGGGGUCGGGAGGGAUAGACUCAUUCCUAGAGUGGGAAUGCUGGAGCUACCACCGACACUUAGGUGGCACAAGCUAGACUACAAUAUGUGGGUCCUAAAACAUGUUGGAAACAAUGACAUUUAAUCGGGAGAUGACAAUUACUACUAGAUAGGAUUAGUAGUUGGAUUACUUUGACAUGCUUAUAGCAUAGUGUUGAGACAUGUAGUAUACUUGAUAGUUUACUUACUGUAUCAUAGUAUACUUGUUUUUCAUGAUAGAGCAUACUCGUUAUACAUUGAUAGAACAGGUCAUGACACAUACUUGUUGCCAUGUUGGAACAUAUUACUUAUGCAUUGAACAUUCUUCAUUAUGAAAGAGUAAAUGUAAAACAUUGACAUCGUAAUGUUUAUGGUAUAGUAAGCUUAGUAAACAUGCAUACUUUCAUACUGCAGUUAUCUUUAUUAUUGUUGAUGCUUACUGUACUUACCCUUUUCCUUUGGGGCCUAGUGGUGCAUUGAGCUGAGGUCAGUAAUUGCCCACUGGGAACUAUAAAUUAUAGUUCUCACGCUCUCUGUAUUAUGUUUUCUUUCAGAGCAUUCCACACCGGGAGAGGCUAGGGACCGUGGGAAGGGCGUUGCUUCGAGCUAUCUCUUCAGCGAGUGACGAGUUGAUAGGUGGUCUACCUCUCGAUGUUUUUAUUUUGGAGAAGUUGAGAGUUGUUUCCAUGUAUAGAGACCAUCCUUUUGUGUACCUUUUUUGGAGACGAUAUUGUAUAACUAUAUGUUUCACUCUUAUUAUUUUAGUAUAUUUUCCUUUACCAUGUGGUAGAUGAUAGAUGUAUACUUGCUCUGAUAUAUCUAGUUAUAGAUUUCCUUGGUUUUAUUUUCGCUGUUGUUGUAGAUGCCUUAUAUAUGUUGACAUAUGGCGGGUCUUUGCACGCUACCGGGCGUGACAACUACACUUAUUCUCAAAACAUGUCAUAGUGUCUCUACUACACUAGUCCAAAUGCCACUCGAUCUACUUGACACUCUACUUGUGCAUAUCGAGUAUUAUAAUUUUCAUAUUCUUAUUUUCCAAUGUCAAUUUCUCUAAUCGACCAAGUUCAACAUGCAUAAUUCAUCUACUAUAUUCCACAAUAUGGCAACAAGUAUAAUUCUUCUAUCAUAUGCAAUAUAUGUCAUCAUGUAUAUGUUUCUAUUUAAUAUAAUCCACAAUAUGUUAAUUCGCAUUAUGUCAUCAUGCACAUAUAUUACGAGCAUCACAUGAUAUGUCAACAUACAUAUAAUCAUCAUCCAAAGUAGUCUAUACUUAGCAUCUCAUGCAUUCUUUAGGAUUUAAUUCAUUAUACAUUUCAUCUCAUUGGUGGGUAAUAUCAACUACAUAGUAUGUUUCAAGCAUUCAUAUUAUCAUGUAAGCCUAUGUCACGCCCCGGGACCUAGCGGAAGCCCGCCCGGCGCGUGCCCAGACCCGCCAUAUGUCUACAACAUAUAAGGCGUCUAAAAGCAACAAUAAUAAAAGCAAUAAUAAAAGACAUCUAGGAGUAUCAGAGCAUAGUAAAUGUUUAAUUGCUACAACAAGGGAUAUGGAUAAAACUGUAAAUCCACUAAAUAAAACAUAAAGUGAUACAAGGAAAAUCCCAAAUACAAGUGCUAUAGGCAGAUACAUAGGUGGUCUCUAUACAUGGAUACAAAAAUCUCUCACUCUCUCGUCUACAAAAGAAAGAGUAAACCCCCUAGGCAAAGUACCGCUCCUCGCUAGCUAGCUAAGCGAUCCCCUUGCCGCGAUCCCGUGCCUCCGCCGGUGCCGAAGGCUCUGAAAAGUAAACCAUAAAACGGAGGCGUGAGAACUAUUAAAAAUAGUUCCCAGUGGGCAAUUACUGACUUCAGUGAAUGCACCACAAGGCCCAAAGCUUCAAAAGAUGUCAGGGACUAUAAAAGUAGAAAGGCAAAAGGUAAGUAAAAAUGUAACUUACUACGACAUGAUAUCUCUACUUAGCAUAAAUAGCAUAAGUAUGGAAGCAACUAUGUAUGAAGUAAAAGUCUCCAAUUAUCAUGACGUUCACAAUGUGGAAUAGUAAAGUUCCGCUGUUUACUAUUCUAGUCAAUGUCCGAGUAGUACACUAAGUCAUCAUCUGUCCAUAUGUCAUAAUGGAUAUAUAUAAAGUCAAAUCUGAAGAGACCCACCCGAAGGCUGUCUAUGGCCCUGAGACCCACCCGUAGGCUGUCUGGCCGGUGCCGAGCCUAAUGGCCCCGUGGUAGUCAUCAUCCCCACCCUAGGAAUGAGCCUGUCCCACGGCAAUCCACUUCGGCGCCCAAUCCCGCACGGCGAAUAUGAAUCGCGAUGGCCAUCUCCGGAGUGCCGGCUUGUAGGGAGCGACCCUCACAAGCAUGUGCGAAUGAGCACAAUGGCAAGUAAUCAAACGAUCUGUCGCAAGAACCAAGUCCUCAUGUCUAAUAACAUGGAAUGUGUCAAGUACCUCAAUGGCCUAUCCCUAUGUCAUCAUGUCUCUAACAUGGAAUAUAGCAGAUAUGUUGUGGCCUAUCAAUAUGUCUCUAUGUUGCAGUUUCAUAGUUUACUAGUUUCAAGUGCCCCUUUAUGACACUCUUAUUCUCUAUGUCAAAACAUGGCAACUAUGUUCCAAAGUACAUAUUCCAAGUCAUAAUCCUCAUAAGAGAUGUAUUUUUUUUUUUACUUGCAAAAUAAACACUUUUCCCGUAUGCAUGCAUUCUACUCAUAUAGCUCUACUAUAUAGUGAAAUUUUCAUCAAUACACAAGACAUGCAUUUUAAGUGCUCUAAAAUUCAUUUAAAUUCCAUUUAGCAUAGAAAUGAAUUUAAAAAUAUUUUACAACAAGUAGAAAGAGCAUAGGGGCCAUUUCGCCCCAAUUCCACGAAGCCAAACCCACCGAUGACAACGAAACUCCUCGCGCGCUCCCACGAGGAUGUCCUCAAGUCUCCUAGUACCCUAAAGGUAUAGAAACAUGUGUCAUCUAACCGGAAUGAACGACACUAAGCUCAAUCUUUAAGCUUCUCAAGCUAGGGUUAGGAAAAACUCACCGAUUGCGAAGGAAGCUCUCUCGAUCUCCAAACGGGAGUUAGAGUCCUUCCAAUCUAACCUAAACAAAGGUUCUAAACCCAUCAAUUUGAUACAAAAGCCCUCAAAAUGAAAAUCCCCAAAUCUAACCCUAAAAUGCCAAAUCUAGGGUUUGAUCUAGUAAAAUCCAACAAAAUCCGAAUCUAGAGGAGAGAAAUUGCUACUAACCUUUUAGAAGCUCCAAACCAAGCUCCAAAGUCCUCUAGGGUUGAAGGUUGAUCCUCAAACAAGCUCCAACCAAGAUCUCACACUUCUCCAAUGGUGGAAAACCCACAAAAAGCAAGAAGGAGAAGAGAAAAGAGAUCAAAACUAGCAAAAACCCAACAAAAAUGAAGAAGAAACCAAAGGGGAGUUCUCACCUUAUCUUCUCUGUUCUAGGGCUCAAAAGAGCAGCCAUGAGGGCUGGGGUGACUUAUAUAGGCGUUGCAACAAUUGCAAAAACACCCCUCUACGAAACAGUCAAAAUCUGCACUGCGUACCGGUACACGGGUUUGUGUACCGGUACACUGCCCACGAAAUGCCAAACCCGAGCCUCGGGUUCACUGGGAAAUGCUCUGUGUACCGGUACACAACCACGUACCGGUACAGCCAUCAACCCCGUACCGGUACAGCAAGCGAACCCGUACCGGUACACGGCCUGCUGAAGGCCACCCGAGAGCUGACCAAAAAUCCAACUUUUUGGAUUUUGGUACACAGCUUUAAACCACAAUUCUCGGGACUCGAACCAUAGGUCGGAACACUGUCAACGACCUACCAGAAAGUCUGGAAAAGCUCGACACACAAAUCAAACACUCGAACCUCGCAAUUUGCAAAGGUCCAGUGUGUUACAGCCUACCAAUACAACUAUAUACAUCAAUGUGAAUUUGUAUGUUUCUUAGACAUAAAGGGCGACCUAGUCGCUUCGGUAAGCACAACCCACCUCAAAUCGCUUUCCGAUAGCUUGUCGACACUUGCAAUCGGCCUCCAGCGGCACCCGUGUCCGGUUCAGCCCGAUUUUGCUAAUACUCACCAACCGUGCGUCGAAUCGUGGCUCCGAAAAUUAUAGGUCUUCGAUUAUGUUCCACGGUGCUUCAAAUCCAUUUUCAUGAUUUUACGAUGUCGCCUCGGCCCUCCAGGCGGAAACGAAGCCUAACGUCCGUUUCUUUAAUAACUUCACAAUGGCUCGACGAAUCACCGAACCGACUUCGCCAACGCGUUCGUUUACCUAGUAAUUAGGUUUACGGAGGGUCAAAUUAGAUCAAACCCAUACGUUUUACAAAACCCCAAUUUUGAAGCCCUAGAUGCCAUUAUAGCUAAAUGCAUUAUUUAACUUCAUGAAUCAAACAAUAAACCUCUAAUUAGCAUCUAAGCAUUCUACUAAAUCCAUCUCUAGAGCAUAUAAAGCUAAUACUAGAGAUCCACCUCAAAGCUUGCUCCAAACCAUAGAGAAGAUGAAGAAGAUGAAGAUGAUUCACUUCCAAGCUUCAAUCUCCACCAAAUCCACCAAUUUUGGGAGAGAUUUAGAGAGAGAAUGGGAGGUUUCUCUCUCUCCCUCUCCAUGCGUGUGUGAGGGUGUGUGUGUGCGGGUUGUGGCUGCACGGUUGAGGGGAAGAAGGAGACAAGUGGCCAAAUUCACAAGAACCCCUUGCACCUAUUAGAAAUUACAUCUCCAGCUCAGUUUAGCAGUUCGGAGUUAUUGGAGCCCUUCUGAACGUCCGUUUGCGCUCAAAUUUGAUGGACAGGCUCGGUUUAAUGUACUGAGUAAGAAUAUAUCUUAAGUUUUUAGUUUCGACCCCGUUUGGUCACCGAAAUCUCUACCGAACUGUAAUCUUUAUCAGAUAGCUGUUGGAUUUUAUUUUCCACUUUUCGGGUGUCAGAAUGGCAUGAAACUUUAAAUUUAGCCUCAUAAAAAUAAUUCUGACAUAUCCUCCAGUUUUCAUAAUUUUCUGACACAGUGCAUUUUCUGCUAAUUUAUCUACCCCGUUUCUCACAGAAAAUUCUAAAUCUUCUAUUUUCACUCCGAUUUCAGCACAGGUCAUUCUCAACCUAUAUUUCACCUCUCUAAAUCCAAUAAAAAUAGUAUCUCAUACUAUUUUUAUUUAUUUUCGUUUUUAUAUUUAAAAUUCGGUAUAUUAUAUUCCACCGCAACCUCACCGGAACCAUUCAAAUGGCCUUCCAAUCGAAUGUACACCGUAACUUAAUAGUUUUAGAAGUCCGGUACCUUACAAUUAAUCUCUCCAAAAAUUCAUCAUCUACUGUAUCGUGAGCAAUAUAUUCAUUCGCUACCAUAGGGCAUCGAAUACUGAAUUUAAGACGAAAUUCUUCUCUAUUACAAUUUACUAAACGAUACAUUCUCGCAUCAAAAUUAGUAUAUGUCGUAUCUGAACGAAUCGCAAUCAAUUUCUUCUGACCGCCGACAUAUCGGGGACCAUUUCCAUCCGUAGUUAACUGUCAAUCCCAAUGAACACUAAGAGACAUCCGACGAUUAGCCAUUUUCACUACACAAAAAAAACUUUCAAAUCUACUCUCAAAAUAUUUAGUAAAUAUAAUACAAAAGUUUAAACCUAAACUAGGCUAAUGCCUAGUUUAAAGUAGGUUUAAACCUAGUUUAAACCUAGUUUAAAACAAGUUUAAACUACAAGCCCGUCUCAUUAAAAAGUUUAAAUAUAACGUACCGAAACUCGGUAGAAAAUAUCGAAUUUUGGGCAAAUAGGCUCAAGUGUGCGAAAGAAAUAGUUGGACAAAUCCCAUUUAACUUUUCAACAAGGUUAGAAGAGUUAAAAGUGAGUUAGGAAGAGUUAAAAGGGUCUUGGCAUUGCUCGGUGCAGAAGAGAAGUCGAACAAGAACUAAAACCCAAGUCUGGGCAUUGUGUACCGGUACAACAUUGAUGUUGUACCGGUACAACACUGCAAACCGAGAGAAAUUGCUCUCGGGUUUGCCUCCGUGAAGUCGUGUUACUGGUGACACCCUUGGUGUGUACCGGUACACUUUUGCAAAACCCGAACAACUGCUCUCGGGUUUGCCUCUGCGAGAUCGUGUAACCGGUGACAGCCCACCUUGUACCGGUACACAUUGGACCUGACAGCAGGUUGAAGUUUACUGCAAAUAGAAAAAAGUGGAGAGCCUUUUUGCUAUUGUAGCNCAUGGGCCUAGCUUCGACAGAAGGCUCACAACACAAUCACUUAGAAAUUUUCGAUCUCAAUGUUUCCCUAGCAUUGGAUGUUCCAGGUGUACAAGGCCCCCAAACUCAAUUCUCGCGAUAGAGGUGGAUCAAUCCACCGUUCAACGACAACUCUCUAUCAAAGUCAUCCUGAUGCGAUCGUCAAACCAAAGUCAAUUCCAUCAGUCCUCAUAUAAGGUUCUAUCCUGAAGGACUCAAUUCCUUGUACACGCUCCUGACACGGGGAAUUCGUAACUUGGUACCUUCCCUCUCACGAGCUUUCCGUCCAUUUGUGAGAGUUCCACAACUCGAUCACUUCAAUCCUGCAAACGCAGUCCAACCUCGCACAUCCUAUUAAAAUACCCCAAGUCAUCCGCAACGGUUCCACAAAUCCACCCAGAGGCUGGGAUUAUCAUUCCGCGAACCCUUCCACAGGUAGAGUAUUAUAGGCUUAGGCAGCAUCAUCCUCGUGAUGUCCACACCUAGCAUCACAACCCAUUUGAGGUACGACCUCAAACUCCAACAUCAACAGCAUUACUCAGAUUACUCACAAUCUUACAAGUACACCAACAACUCAAGGCCAUCUGACAAGGUCAAUGGGCCUCAGCAACGGUCUAAGCCUCCAAUCGUGGUUCAAUUUGAAUCACGAGAGUCGACAUACAGUCGGAACGGCCCAACCGGUCCCACAACAGGUGAGAGUGCUCCUCCACGAGGCAAAACACCAACUAUAAAAUCUCCCUGUCAAAUGAGCUAACGAUUGGUGACUCGAUCGGGGACAUAACGACCGAUCAAGGACAUCCUUUAUUUCAAGGAUUCUUGAUCACCCAAAGCUAAUGGCCACUCAGGCCCCAAACCCUCUCCAACACUUACCCUAUUUUAGGUAAGAGAGACUAUCAACGCAUAUAGCAGAAGUAAAUCCUCAAAUCGCACUAUUUCGUGCACACAGUCCUCAAGGCGAGUCAAGUCAGCUCGCAAACCAAGGGUACCAGGUACCCACAACAACUCCACACCAAGGAAGGCCAAUCUAUUUGUUGGCACACAGAACCAUCUCACGGGGUAGAGCGUUCAAAACGACACACCCGAUCAACCGAUCAUCCACACGCGCCAAAGGCUCAACGCUAACAAAUCCUCGGGUUGGGUAACUACACACUCAGCGUGUCCUCGAUCGCACGAUCCAACACGUGGCUGUCACGCCCCGGGACCCAGCGGAAGCCCGCCCGGCGCGUGCCCAGACCCGCCAUAUGUCUACAACAUAUAAGGCGUCUGGGAACAACAAUAAUAAAAGCAAUAAUAAAAGACAUCUAGGAGUAUCAGAGCAUAGUAAAUGUCUAAUUGCUACAACAAAGGAUAAGGAUAAAACUGUAAAUCCACCAAAUGAAACAUAGAGUAAGAACAAUAGGAAAUCCCAAAUACAAGAGUUAAAAGUAGGUACAUAGGUGGUCUCUAUACAUGGAUACAAAAUCUCUCACUCUCUCUCAACUACAAAAAGAAAGAGUAAACCACCUAGGCAAAGUACCGCUCCUCGCUAGCUAGCUAAGCGAUCCCCUUGCCGCGAUCCCGUGCCUCCGCCGGUGCCGAAGGCUCUGAAAAGUAAACCACAAAACGGGGGCAUGAGAACUAUUAAAAUAGUUCCCAGUGGGCAAUUACUGACUUCAGUGAAUGCACCACAAGGCCCAAAGCUACAGAAGAUGUCAGUGACUAUAAAAGUAGAAAGGUGGCAGGUAAGUAAAAAUGUAACCCACUACGACAUGAUAUCUCUACUUAGCAUGAAUAGUAAAAGUAUGAAAGCAACUAUGCGUGAAGUAAAGUCUCCAACUAUCAUAAUGUUCACAAAGCGAAAUAGUAAAGUUCCGUUGUUUACUAUUCUGGUCAAUGUCCAAAUAAUACUCUAAGUCAUCAUCUAUCCACAUGUCAUGAUGAAUACUCAAGUCAAAUCUGAAGAGACCCACCCGAAGGCUGUCUAUGGCCCUGAG
rnacentral:lncRNA from 1 species